GAUCUGGCUCAGGAUGAACGCUGGCGGCGUGCCUAACACAUGCAAGUCGAGCGAAGCGGUUUUGAGGAAGUUUUCGGACGAAAUCAUAACUGACUGAGCGGCGGACGGGUGAGUAACGCGUGGGUAACCUGCCUCAUACAGGGGGAUAACAGUUAGAAAUGACUGCUAAUACCGCAUAAGCGCACAGCUUCGCAUGAAGCAGUGUGAAAAACUCCGGUGGUAUGAGAUGGACCCG
rnacentral:rRNA from 1 species